GACAGAGGGGGCAAGCGUUGCUCGGAAUUACUGGGCGUAAAGGGCGCGUAGGCGGGAUGGCAAGUCGGUCGUGAAAUCCCUCGGCUCAACCGAGGAACGUCGAUCGAUACUGCUGUUCUUGAGGAUUGCAGAGGAGACUGGAAUUCCCGGUGUAGCGGUGAAAUGUGUAGAGAUCGGGAGGAACACCGGUGGCGAAGGCGGGUCUCUGGGCAAUUCCUGACGCUGAGGCGCGAAAGUGUGGGGAGCAAACGGG
rnacentral:rRNA from 1 species